GGGGAAGUAGUACUUGUACUAUGGUAACCAUGGCGGACGGGUGAGUAACGCGUAAAGAACUUACCUUUAGGACAGGGAUAACAGAGGGAAACUUCUGAUAAGACUUGAUAUAAUUAUGUAGUUGCAUGACUGUAUAAUGAAAAGGGAUGCCUAGAGAGAGCUUUGCGUCCUAUUAGUUAGUUGGUGUGGUAGAGGCAUACCAAGGCGAUGAUAGGUAGCCGGCCUGAGAGGGUGGACGGCCACAAGGGGA
rnacentral:rRNA from 1 species